GCGAACGGACGAGGAGCUUGCUUCUCUGAUGUUAGCGGCGGACGGGUGAGUAACACGUGGAUAACCUACCCAUAAGACUGGGAUAACUUCGGGAAACCGGAGCUAAUACCGGAUAAUAUUUUGAACCGCAUGGUUCAAAAGUAAAAGACGGUCUUGCUGUCACUUAUAGAUGGAUCCGCGCUGCAUUAGCUAGUUGGUAAGGUAACGGCUUACCAAGGCAACGAUGCAUAGCCGACCUGAGAGGGUGAUCGGCCACACUGGAACUGAGACACGGUCCAGACUCCUACGGGAGGCAGCAGUAGGGAAUCUUCCGCAAUGGGCGAAAGCCUGACGGAGCAACGCCGCGUGAGUGAUGAAGGUCUUCGGAUCGUAAAACUCUGUUAUUAGGGAAGAACAUAUGUGUAAGUAACUGUGCACAUCUUGACGGUACCUAAUCAGAAAGCCACGGCUAACUACGUGCCAGCAGCCGCGGUAAUACGUAGGUGGCAAGCGUUAUCCGGAAUUAUUGGGCGUAAAGCGCGCGUAGGCGGUUUUUUAAGUCUGAUGUGAAAGCCCACGGCUCAACCGUGGAGGGUCAUUGGAAACUGGAAAACUUGAGUGCAGAAGAGGAAAGUGGAAUUCCAUGUGUAGCGGUGAAAUGCGCAGAGAUAUGGAGGAACACCAGUGGCGAAGGCGACUUUCUGGUCUGUAACUGACGCUGAUGUGCGAAAGCGUGGGGAUCAA
rnacentral:rRNA from 1 species